UGGAGAACGUGAAAAAGUUCUCACCACUUGUAUUUGUAAUAAUGUGGGGGGUUUUAUGCCUGUUUGCACUGACACACGUUCCUGUAAGCAGUAUUAACUACCAGAAGUACACAAAAGUUCUUUACAAAGUUCUGCUGCAGGGUGGCAGAUGCGCAACAGAGUAGGAGAAAAGGAGCAGCGGUAGGAAGUUCUGGGUGGUAUGAGUGGAAUCAUUCCAAUGUGCAGGUGAGAAACGUCUUCAUCGCCUCUAUUAAUUUGACUGGAGGCUGUUAGUUGCUUUUGUUGGUUGUACAUUUAAUGAGCGUUUCAGGAGGGAAAUUGAGAGGAACGCAGCUGUGAAAGUUCUUUUGUUUUUUAAUAUGAAACUAACCUAAGCUGUAGUCUGGGCUAGUCUGCCACCACCAUCAAAAAUUGUCAUUUUUCUUAUGAGUCAAGAAAAUCCCCAGUAGGGCUGUGUUCCACAGGAGAGGUCUCAGCCAGUGCAAAAAGCUUUAGAAAGUGUCUCCACGUUUUGCUUCCACACGAGGUAACUCGAACAUGCAGGACUGGGAGCAGACCUCAGCCCAGAUCCUGGAAUGCACGAAGCAGCUGUUUUGCCUAUAAAUAAACCGAGAGCCUCUUCUCCAGCGGGGCUUUUUUUCACAGAUAUGCCGUGGAAAUGAGCUGCCACUUUAACUGUUGGUGUUUAGAGUUAAAGUAUGUGGUAGUGGCAGGAUUCGCAUUCUGAUGUGUGACAGUCACGCUGGCGUCAGGUUUCAGCCUUGCUGUGGUGAACCCGCUUGUGCUGCAGGAGUUAAAUCUGUCAGCCUUUCUCCUCCUGACCACCCCCACCGAGUGCCACAGGGGUAUUCUUGCCUCCAUUUUAACCAGCUCCUCGUUUGAAGUGCUUUCCUGAAAUCCAGACUGAUGAGAAAAGUGAUUCUUCUAAAUAUAGGGGUGAAGAAAAGUGGUGUUUGUUCCCAGCGCUGUCAGUGUACAGCCACUGCUCAUCGGCGCUUUCAAACAUCAGUUGUGAGAACAGCUGAUCAUCCCCAAAGUGCCCUCACUUCUGGUCACGAUUCCAGAGGUUUGAUGAUGCUAGUAAAUCAUCCCAGCAGGAAGACCGAGCAUCAUAGUCUUGAGAGCAUUCUCUUGGCCUCAAUAUUCCCCUAGAGCUCUGGGGAAGAGGGAAGUUGGGAAGGAAUCCUAAUGCAGAGACCAGAAGUGAAGAGCUACGGUCUCCAGCAGCCUCAGCUGAGAGGGCAGAGUAUUAAUUAAACUGGAGGACUCAAGAGCCUGUCUGGAAGGGAUUCUGGAUGGAGAGGAGAUGCAAACCCAGAGGACCAACAUGAAAUGCAGGCAGAAUGUUCUUCUGAAACGGAAGAGUUCAAAAUCCAAACUCAAAAGGACAAAGAAAGGGAAUAAAGGAGAAAUCCUGAUUGUGGAAAAUGAGAAGCUGCUUAUCAGAGGGAAUGUGGAUGUGUGAUGCCAGGGUGGGGCAGUUUUCUCUCCGGUUCCUGUGCUUCCUCUGAGGUGGUUUGACUUUUGAAAUAUAUAAAAGAAAGGUGACUUGGUUUUUGUUUCCUCUGCUGGAAAAGAUGGAAUGGGAAGACAGGGCAGACUUUGCAGCACUAAUGUUGCAGGAGUAGAUUCCCAUACUGUCUGUUGGUAUUGAAAACAGCCUGAAAUUGCUUUUUAGCUUUUUCCUGGGAAAAAUGACAGGAACAUCAAAGGAUCAUAUUAGUUAGGAAAGAAGCAAGCAGCCUCAAUGUGAGUUUUGUGUUUACUGUGGUGUGGAGAGAAACACUGCAUUGGUGGUGGCAGUGAAGAUGAAUUCUGGGGAUGCAGGUCAGAUAUCCUAACGCUUCCAUGUCCUCCAGGGAUGGCAGUUUGCAGGUCACAAUCGUGGUCUGGGGCUAAGGGGAUGGAUAGAUUAAAAAACCCCAAUCUCUAACAGGUCAGAUCCUGAGAACGGAGUUGUAAUUCCUGCAGAGCCAAUGGUAGGGAUCUCCCUGGGAAUAACGCUUGGAAAUGUGCUGCUAAGUGCUUUCCUGCCACACGUCCCUCCUUUAUGAAGCUGGGAUCCAGGCCUGAGCAGCAGCUGGCCACUGAACAUCUGCCCCAGUGUGCAAUGGCCAAGUUUAUCCAGAGAGCUGAGCUGCUGCAACAAGUCACCCUCACUUUGCUGACCUGCAGAGUUUGCAGUGCUCUGGAGCACUGGGAUAUGGUUGGAGUUGUGCUCCAGGAAAAUGUCAGCCCUGGAGCAGCUCUGUUAACCUCCUGCAAAUCACUGGAAACCUGCAGUGCUGGCCCAGGCAUUCAGUGCAAACAAAGCACGAGCUGCUGUAGCACAUUUGUGCCAGGGUUUCCUGAUUCCAAGUGCAGUCAGAUACGGCCUAAAAUGAACCAUUGUUGUAACAAUGACAAGAGAGGCUGGGGUGAAAAUCAUGUUAUUUCCUUUGGAAAGAAAAGAGUUCUAUUUUUAACUAUUUUCCCCUUAAUCUUACUAUUUUGCUCUACCAGUGUUUAUAGCAGAGAGCACAAUACUUCUUGUUGUGAUUGUUCUUUGUGUGACUGGGAUAUAAGUAGAUAUUCUGCAGCAAAUUCUCUGUCUGGGAUACAGAGUCCAAAGAGAUUAUGCUGCAGGAAGUUCUAAAAAAAACCCCAAACCCUUACACAAUCCCCCACUCACUCCCUCCAAAAAGCCAUAACCCAAACAAAUAAAAACCCUGAAAGACUGUCAUAGUUCCAAAAUAACCACAAAAAAUGUGUGCUAGGCUUAAAACAGAAGUCUGGGGGAAAUGAUUGUCAGAUCCCUGGGUGCAUUUGAGAACUGCUUUCUGCACAUGAAACAGAAGAUAAGAAACACACACUUGGGCUGUGCUUGUGUGUUCUCACAGAGCCAAAUGAACAGCUCCUCUCAUUCUUUGCUUCCCCAUCUUCAUUAGCAGUCAUCUGAUCUUCCCUCCCCUUCUGCAUCCACUAAUCCUCACCAAAAUGGCUGGAAAGAACUUCUGUUGUGCUCUGGAGUGUUUUCCUGAGAUUAUUUCUACUACUUCAGCAAGCUCAGUAGAGUUACUGGAUGCUCAGAAGGACUUUUUGGUCUGGACUUUACAAACCUUGGACCCUGUUCAACAGUAAGCAGUCAGGAGAGAGGAGAGGGACUGCUCCCUGUCACCUGAAACAAGCUUUAAAUUCAUUUCAAACAGUUCUUUGAGAGCAGACAUUGGUAAAGGAUAAAAAAAAAUUCACAGGUACUUAAUCAAGACGUCCUUCUGCCUCAGCCCUUUGCUCUCAUGUAUGAGUUCACAGCCAUCUAUGCACAAAUUACACAUAAUUUCUCAGGCUAUGAUCUUUGCCAUUAUUUUGCAGGAUGCUGCCUGAAGGAAAGAGCAGAGCUGCAGGCUUGUGCUGAGUGGGUGAUGUAUGAAAGGGGCUUGUGGCAGUGGGUUAGGAUGGAGCACAACUCACAAAUGGAAGGGAAGCAGACUUUCAGCCUCUCUGUGCCAUUGUUUGGAUCACGUGUUUUACUGAGGUUUUGAUAAAACCGGUAUUUAAAGGAAAACCCCCGAAUCUAACCCCACCAUGGAAACCACCUGGGUACUGCAAGAUGAUGUGGAAGUGGAUAAAUUGGGAAGUGCAGCUUCUUUGGGUAAUUUUGUGCUCUGAUCUGAGAAACCUUCAGGCAUCUCAUCUACAGACUUGGCUCUUUUAUCCUAAUAUUUAGCCCUUCCAGUUUUCCUUUUGCCUGAGGAGUUCAAAGCUUUUUGCAGACUUUGUAGAGUUUUCUUUGUCAAGACACAAGACCUGUGAGGAGGUGGUGGAAAGCAGGGAGAGUGCUGGAAGGUGCUGGUUGUUCCCCUCUUGGUUUCCCUUCCCCUUUGGCUGCCAGCAGCAUCAGGGAAUGGAAAUUCUUUUGGGAUAUGGCAACUCUGACUCAAAAAAAAAAGAGUUCUAUUCUACAGAACCAUCUUCCAAGGUGAAUUUUAUUUUCAUUUAGUGUUAAAUCAAGUGCAGUCACUGGUAAGCAGUGCAGAGUUCAGCUGGGUGCCCUCAAAUGGGAUUUUGGGAUUUUCCACAUUUUGGAAUUGCUGGCUGUGUGUGAGGGUGGGAGGGCAGGGGGCUGAGCUGGGUGUGGUGCUGCCUGUGAGGUGUCAGAGAGAGAAUUGGCUGCUGCAUAAACCUGCUUUUUUCUAGUUACCCUUUACACAAAGUUGAAUAUUACCCAGAAGUUGUGUGGCUGGUUGGAAACCGAGGGCUUUUUCUGGGCAACACUGAGCUGCCUUUCAGUGGGAAAGGGAGGAGAGGGAGCUGUGGGAACAGGAGGGGCUCUGUGCCAGUUCUCAGGGUCAGGAACAAGCUGGAGCAAGCAAGCAGGUACCCAGCCAGCUCCAGCAGCAGAGUUCAACUCAGCCUCAGCUUGCUAGGCCUGAAUUAAAUCAGCAUUAACAGAGCACCGGGGGAAGGAAGGUUUCACCCAGGGAUAAGCUGGCAGUCUGCUCAACAAGCAGGGGAUACGGGAGCUCUCGCUGCCCUGGGAAGUCUGACAGCUUUGCAGUGUCACGGAUUGAUGAACCCCUUGGUAGGUGUGUGUUAGCAGUGGAGGAUUUGCGGCGGCACCGUGAGCAGCCCCUGUGUGUCAGUCCGGUGAACUGCAGCGCUCUGGGCUGGAACUCUGCCGUGCAAUGUCUGCAGUCCCAUUUCUGGUUAGAAAACUCAGAGGCCAAAGAUAUCCUGAUGCUGCCGUGUUCUCCAGGGAUGGCGGUUUGCAGGUCACAGUUCUGGUCUGGGGCUGAGGGGAAUGGACAGAUUAAAAACCCCAUUCUCUAACUGGUCAGAUCCUAGAACUGUAAAAAGGACCCCAAACUGGUCCUUCCCAUGUGCUGCUGCCUCCCACUCAGCUGUCUGUGUGGCUGAUCUGAGAGCUCGCUGCUGGAGCAGCUGGGAUGCUGCCUGGCAUAAUUGGAACUGCCCUUGGCAAUUCCAGCCCCUUGGGGAUAAAGGUGUCACAGGAUGGAGCAGAGCUUAAUCAGAAUGUCACACAGCAAAAGCCGAUUUCUGAUUGUUUGCUCUGACUAAUUACAAGCUUGCUUUGUGUGUCUUUCACCCAUCUCAGAAAAAUGUGGGAUGGCAUGGAACACACGUUACCAAGUGCAGCCAGUCAAGCUGGGAAGCAGGUACACCUACCAGAGUGGAAAGCCGUGUGUGAAACCAUCUGAAUAUCGUGGUUUGUAGCAGCUCAUUAUCCUGGCUACCAGAAUUUCCUGGCUGUGUUUGUAGCCUGGUUGCUACAGUUAAUCAGCAACCUGCCUAAUCUCACUAACCUUCUUUUUGUAACCUGCCUAACCAUUGUGUAAUCUGCUUAUGGCACUGAGCUCUGACUAUUCGUAGCAAGUUUGGAGCUGUGCAGGUGCAAAUAUUCUUAUUCUCAGUCCUGUUGACAGCUGGCUUUCACGGUGUUGGUGCUCAUGAAAUUCAACCUGCUCUCAUGGUGCUAUGGAUCAGAAAAUUAGGGUAUUUCUGGCCUGUUAACAUCUGCCUCCUCCCCUGAGCCUGUGGGGAUUGUCCCAGUGGCUAAUCCUGGGAUGCAGCUCCGUGGGACACGGAUCAUGGCAGGCCACAGCUGCUGGGGACAUCCUGCUGGCCCUGUCACCUGCUGACCUUCACCCCUGAGACUCUCUUCAUCAUGCCUUGGCCCUGGCACCCCUGAUUGCUCUGCUGCGAUUUUAGUAGACAGGAGAGACAGGAAUUUGUCUGAUACUAUUUGUAAGUCUUAGUUCAUUCCUCAAAUUCCUGGAAUUCCUAUUGAAGAAAGAAGCAAUUUGGAGUUUUGCUGGAGUAUGCAAGGGGUUUUUGUUUGUUUGUUUUUCCUAAAGCCAAGUAAUUAUCAAAAGAGAUGUGAAACUCUAAUUCCACUGAAGGGUGAGGAGGAGAUACACCAAACCAUUUUUAAUUUGAUCCCAUUUUCUCUAAUUUAUCUAAUUUCACUAGUUUAAUGUUUGUAAGCCAGCAGCUGUCAUAUCUUGUAAUAAUGGACUAAACAGUAUUCCUGGACAAAUGUAUUCUGUAUAAAAAACUAAUGUUUGACUUCAGCUUGUGGGCAACGGGGCAGACACACUGUUAGGAAUAAUUUGUAAUAACAGAUCUUGAU